rnacentral:tRNA from 1 species
CGGCACGAUCGGCGAGUGGCUGGGCCACGUGCUGAACGUCAUCACGGGUCGCAUGGACCGGCCGGGCGGGCGCCGGUUCGAACCCGGCUAUGUCGA